rnacentral:rRNA from 1 species
CCUACGGGAGGCAGCAGUAGGGAAUAUUGCUCAAUGGGGGAAACCCUGAAGCAGCAACGCCGCGUGGAGGAUGAAGGUUUUCGGAAUGUAAACCUCUUUUGUUAGAGAAGAUAAUGACGGUAUCUGAGGAAUAAGCACCGGCUAACUCCGUGCCAGCAGCCGCGGUAAUACGGAGGGUGCAAGCGUUAUUCGGAAUCACUGGGCGUAAAGAGCGCGUAGGCGGGAUAGCAAGUCAGAUGUGAAAUGCUUGGGCUUAACCCCAGGACAGCAUUUGAAACUGUUAUUCUGGAGUAUGGGAGAGGUAGGUGGAAUGCGUAGUGUAGGGGUAAAAUGCGUAGAGAUCAAGAGGAAUACUCAUUGCGAAGGCGGCCUACUGGAACAUAACUGACGCUGAGGCGCGAAAGCGUGGGGAGCAAACAGGAUUAGAUACCCUAGUAGUC